rfam:Schizophyllum commune H4-8 unplaced genomic scaffold SCHCOscaffold_11, whole genome shotgun sequence.
GCCCUGCUAGCUCAGUGGUAGAGCGUCGCACUCGUAUCCUGCAUUGAUGAGUUGCUAUAUAUGAUGCGAAGGUCAGUCGUUCAAGUCGGCUGUGGGGCA